GUGACUUGUUGUUGAUUGCAGAUCAGAGCUCAAUAUAGUUUGACAAAGGAAGAGCUUGCUUCAACUUCCCAGGCACGACAGGAUCUAAAAGUUGCAGUAGAUGAACUAACCAAAGUAGUUGAACAAUUGCGUGGUGACUUGCAACGCGAGAUGUCUCAGAGAGAGUUAGUAAAGCAACAGGCUGACCACUAUGAGAAAGUUCUUAGUGACAAGAAAAAUGAAAAGGCAGUGCAUGUGGAGGAAUUACAAAGACUUCAAGCAUUGGUGACAGAGGCUCACACUUCUCUUGACUCAUACAAACAACAACUGGAAAAAUUUGAUCAGGAAAGAGCUGAUCUAAAGUGCAAAGUGAAAGAGCAAAAAACUAGAUUUGAUUUUACACAGCAAAAAUUAGAGAGAGCUGAAAAUGAACUACGAGAAGCACGCAAACAAUUGAAUGAACAAACUCUGCAAUACAGUAAUAGCACCAAACGAACAAACAAAGACCUAGCUGCAGUCAGACAACAACAUAUUGAAGAUUGCAGACAGAUGGAACACCAGAUAGAAAACAUGAGCCAGCAGUUGAGCAAGCUGCGAAGAGAGUUGGCAGAUGUUGAAUCAGAGAAAGCACUGUUAACAGCUGAAUGUCAGCAGACACGUGAUGAGAAAGCUACACUGCACACACAUCAAAACCAGAUGAAAGAGACAUUGAGAGCUAUGAGUGAUGCAAGAGAGAAAAUGGAACUGAGAAAUGAGGAACUUGUUGCCCAGGUGGCACUUUUAAGAGAGGAAAUUACAGCAUUACGCAAGUGUGAGGAAGAAAUGAUUGAUUAUCAGAGGUCACAUGAAGCAUCAACAAGGGCUGAUAUGCAUCAUCUCGUUGCUGAGAUUACGCAGCAGUUGGAGCAGCAGUACAGCUGUCGAGAAAACUUUCAUAGGCUGAGAGCAGAAAAUGAGACAUCAGCUUUGCAGAGUGCCAAGCAAAAGGUUGAUGAACUGGAGGAGGAAAGGAGACAGCUCCAAAAGCAAUAUGCAAGAGAACAACAACAGUGUGAAGCCAUGAAGUCAGAAUUGAGCAUUGUUUACUCUCAAAGACUUCAAGAUGACAAGAUGCGUAAGAAACUGGAGUCUCGCUUGGAGAGGGUAAAUGAAGCUUUGAAUCGUUCAAAGGCAGUUGUCUCAGCAGGCCUGUCUCCUACUAAAUUUGGCCACUUACCUACACUGAAUGGCAAAUGGCACUAACAGUAGCUAGUAAGAGUUUUGUAGUGGCCCAUGCAAGCCCAACUGACUGCUUUCCAGUUGGCAUUGGUUUGAAGGCUGUACAGGUACAACUGAAAGGUGAAAAGUUGAACCAUUACUAAGGAGUACAAACCAGUUACUAUAGACUUGCAUAGUGAUAUGAAGUAAUGAAUUUGAAACUAGGUGGUAAUCCAAUAAACGUUUGUCACAUUGUGAGGC